GGCCUGGUGGCGUAGCUGGUAACGCGUCGUCCCAAAGUACCUUCUUGCACCCUUGAAGGCGAAGUCCCUCGUUCGAUUCGGGGCCCGGCCC